UACGAAGGGGGCUAGCGUUGCUCGGAAUUACUGGGCGUAAAGGGAGCGUAGGCGGGUCGUCAAGUUGGGGGUGAAAGCCCAGGGCUCAACCUUGGAAUUGCCUUCAAAACUGACGAUCUAGAGUAUGGAAGAGGUAAGUGGAACUCCGAGUGUAGAGGUGAAAUUCGUAGAUAUUCGCAAGAACACCAGUGGCGAAGGCGGCUCACUGGCCCGAUACUGACGCUGAGGCACGAAAGCGUGGGGAGCAAACAGG
rnacentral:rRNA from 1 species